GUCGGUCUUGUCUGAUACUUUUCAAGGGAGAUUACUCUAUUGGUUUUAACUGAUUUUAUCUUGUGUUUACAUUGGUCAGUAUUCUAAGAAUUCAAAUGAUUGGUUCAUGGAUCAUUGGUUUUAAGCUAUUUUUAUGUCAUGUGAUUUCUUGGUGGGAAAAGUCAUUGUGUCUUUGUUAUGUUGUAAAGGAAAGGUUAGAAAAAUUAGUGUUUGUGGUCAAGUUCUUUAUUUCAUAAGUUGUUAACAGUCACUGGUGUGAAAGUAAGAGAAGGUAUUAGGUUAUAGAUUGAUGUACUACACUCAUCCCUCAGAUGAGUGUUGUUGGUUUGUACCUUAACUUGAUGUAACCACCAUACAGUAAUUGAAGAAUGGAUUGGAAUAUAUAAAUAAUAUAACUGUAAAGCUGUUUGUUGAUUUGAUUUUAAUAAUCCCGAACUCAUUUGACCCUUAGGGGCUCGGAUAGUUAUAUUUAUAUUGCGCCGAACCACCCCUAU